UGAAAACUCUUUUGAAAGCAAACAAGGCGUCAGGAUAGAUUAAAGGCCCAUUUUAAUGAACUAACAUCCACAGACGGUCUAAAUUAAUCGGUAUAUCUUUUGAAAGCGUCGGCCAUUCUUUCCCGCCACACGGCGGACCGGGGGAAGAGUUUUUCCUUAUGCGACUCUAUUGGCCCAACGCGGAAGUGCUUUUCAACGGAGGCCUACCGUUGUGUCCUCUGAUAAUCUCCCUCUCCAUGGAUCUUUUGUAAAGCCCAAUCAGGAAGUAGGAGGAACCGAAGAAGUUGAUGAGCUUAUCAAUGGCGUCUCGAGCACUGAAUCAGAGCCUAAAUCGUAGUUAUGGUGUAGGGUUAAUAAGAAAGAAGGUACAAGAAGAUGGGGACAGCCUUGAGAGCGUGUUUAAGCUGCGAAAUGGAAGGGAGAUUGGUGUUCUCCGGAAGGAAUUAGAGUCCGUCUGGAUGCAUCGAAAACAGUACAGAAGCUGACGCUUGCUGUUCCUAUACCAGUAGUUUCUUUGGAUGGGUACACAAAUUCUGGGAAGAGUACGCUCUUGAAUCAGUUGGUUGCAGAGGAUUGAUUGUUUGCAACCACCUUUAAUCCAGCUGCAAGAAGGGUUCAGAUGAAAAAUGGAAACGAGUUUCUACUUGCCGACACUGUUGGUUUCAUCCAAAAGUUACCAACUAUGCUGCCAUCCGCUGGCUGAUCAACAGAUAGAGGCUGUGGAUAAAGUUCUUUUAGAAUGGGAUGUGUCGUCGAUUCCGAGGUUGAUGGUUUGGAACAAGGUGGGGGGGAAAUCUUAUGGAAUACGAUCCUUUACCCACCCCUCACCACAAGGAAAAUAAAAGGAAAGAGAGAAGACUACUUGAGAUUUUUAUCUGUGCUUAUUAUAGAUUUCUUUGUCCUUUUUGUCAUUGGCUAUGCUUGUAUGGAUUUGCUUUACUGGAAUCUCUUUAUAGUUUAUUCUCUCUCUUUUAUUCUUCAGAAGAUAGAUGGGACAAUAAACAGUUCUUUUUAAAAAAAAAAUAAAAUUCUCUCAAGUAUGUUAAACUAAAAACGGUUUUUCAAAUGGGUUUCUGUUUUUCUCGUAGCCUAAUCUUUUAGCUAAUGUUAUUCUCUGCCUUUAUAGCCAUUAUGUGGAAUAGAGAAAGAGAGAUAUUGGGAGAGGUUUGGUCCUCAGUUAGGUUCUAUACCUCUCUUUGGUGUUGGUGUCUAAAGAGUUUUGUAUUUAUCCUUAGUUUCUUAUUCUUAACGGACUGAUGGAGCCCCUUCUUGUAGUUUUGUUUGGCAUUGUCCCCUUUUGGUUUCAUUUGCUCCAUGGAAGUUUGGUGUCUAAUUCUAAAGAAAAUCCUGUAGCUUAUGUAAAGGAUCCUUGUUUGUAAUUCUAUGGACAAAUUCAAGUUUCUUCUCUAAUUCCUAUGUGCGUCUAACUACAAAUUGUCAAACGGCAGGUUGACAAGGUUAGUGAUCCUCAAAAUAUUAGAGGGGAUGUUACGUGUGUACAUGUGAGAUCCCACGUAACAUUCCUUAUAAAGGUGUGAAAACCUCUCCUUAGUAGACGUGUUUCAAAACUGUGAAGCUGAUAGCGAUACGUGAUAGGUCAAAGCGGAUAAUCUCUGCACCGAGUGAUGAUGGUUUGGACGAAUUCUGCUAUGCAGUUCAGGGAAAAUUGAAGGACUCAGUGGUUUGGGUAGAAGCCUUGAUUCAGUUUGACAGAGGCGAGUUCUUGAGCACUGUGUAUCAGGUUGGAGUGGUAGAGAAAACUGUAAGUAAAUCCUCCAUCCUUUCUGAUUUCCAUUUAGUUUUCUUGUUAUGCACAGUUGGAAGAUUUUUAAAUAUCUUGAGAGUGCAUUUGGUUGAAGCAAUUUGUUAGUGUAUUUAAAAAAAUGGUGGUAGGAAGAGUAGCCUAUUUAAAAAAUGUGUCAACAAAUUGACAUCUACUCUUUUUCUUUUUCUUGAGGUCGGCUGUAGGAAGAGCCGCUCAUAAAGUUCGACACUGUCCUAGAUGGUAAGAAAUGAAAAAUAAUGAUGUUGGAUGACC